rnacentral:misc_RNA from 1 species
UCCGGUUUAUCACGCGGCAGUCCCGGCGAGUCACAUGUCAAGGGCUGGUAAGGUUCUGCGCGUUGCGUCGAAUUGAACCACAUGCUCCACCGCUUGUGCGGGCCCCCGUCAAUUCCUUUGAGUUUCAACCUUGCGGCCGUACUCCCCAGGCGGGGUGCUUAACGCGUUAGCUGCGACACUGACGAGCAAGCUCGCCAACGUCUAGCACCCAUCGUUUACGGCGUGGACUAC